rnacentral:lncRNA from 1 species
GUCACAGGGCACUAGAUGGGGAAAACCUAGGGCUUUAGCUCCCCGGUGCAAUUCCCCUCCAUUCUCACUAUAGCAAGCAGUUCUCAGAAAGAGAAAGGAGGCCCCAAGCAGCUGCUGGGGGCUUGAGAGGAUUGGAGGGUGGGGGCGUUCCCACCUGUAGUUCAGGAGGGGCAGUCAGAGGCUGCAGUUUUUCAUUGUUGCCUGGUGCCCAACACCUCUUCCGCAAUGCUGGGGGAUUUCCAUGUCUUGUUAGCAUUAUGACCAGUAGUGUGAGCCUUGCUUUCCCAGGGAAUAUAGGAUCUAAUACAUGCAUUCACUUAUGCAGCAAUAUCACUUAAAAGUUUUCUAAUACUUACGAACACCUAAAGGAGACACUCUUUUAGUCCCUGAAUUAAUGGAAAUCCCUCUGACUCACCUCUUCCUCAGCAUAAAAAAGAAAACAAUUAGGUAGCCUCUCACACAAACAGGUCAUGACAGAUAGUUUAGUCAUAGACAGCCGGAGUCGUAAAGACUUAGGCUAGUGAGCUUGUCUCAUAUAAAUUUGUAGGAAUUUUUUGCAAGAUAGUAAAUUUUCUCUAGGAAAUGUAAUUAGACACAUAGUCUCAUUUGAACCCUUUCAAGGAAGGCUUUGCACAAAGCACAUUUACUCUCCUGUGAGGCAGGCUGAGUCUCCCGCGUCUUCAGUCAAUGUGCCUGGGAAAAUGAGACUCGGUAAUAAAAAUUCCUGGUGGAGUGCCAAAAGUGGGCUUGAAGUAUUAGGAAAUCAAAAGUAUGCAGGUCGGUGGGAGCCAACGGGCCCUUCUGGACGGCCCUUCUUCAAAGACGGUAUUUUUCUACAAUGUAAAGGAUCGUUUGGAAGGGAUCAUGUCGCUAUCUGCAAUAAUUCCUUUCCAUGGCCUCAUUAUUAAGUUUCUUGAAUUCCAGAGCAGAUUCAGGGUGACUGAAAAUUUGAUUAAAAAUUCCAAGGACUGAAACAGAACAUCCAGUCCAAAUGCCUUUCUUCCAUCAUGGCAAGGGUUGUGUCUCCUGUACCCACUUAUGUUCUCUCUGCAGAGACAUGGGAAGGACGGAGGCCAGGAAGCAGAGGAGAGAGGGGUGGAUAGUUAUUUAUGGUAGAGGGCCACUUCAGGUGACAUCUGCUCUUAUGCCACCUCCCAUUUAAUCAGUGAUGGCUCAGAAAUAAUUAAAUCAGCUGCUCUCACCACAGCAGCUCUGCUAGGGUCUCCUGAAGUCUGAGUGACGUGAAGAUUAAUGGGCCCAUUAUCAGGAGUCCACACAACAGCACUAGAACCUCUGAUCGGCUAUGUUUAUAGCCACAAGUUGCUGUUUUUGCAAUGGAAACAAAUGUGUCACAUGUAGCAAGAUGGAUUUCUCUAUGGAAAUAGCAUUGUGCCUUCUAAUCUGGGUGAUUGCUAUCAGGAGGUGCCGUUGGACAGCCCUGGCUUGGCCUCGGGGACGAGAAGAAGCAGAAAACAUGCCUGUUUCCUUUCCAUUGUGUUUUUAACACUUUGGUGGAACGCCAGACAAGGAAGGGAUGAAAUCAUGGAUUGUGUCCUCACCUCCAUCUUAGACUGUUUUAGCAUGGGGCAAGUCUGUCAGAAGAAUUAACUUCCUGUAGAAGUUAAUUUUCUAUUCUAAGAAAUCUGGGAGAGCAUGACUCACAAGUCAUGAAAGAAUACUUCUUGGUAAUAUUGAAGC